ACCUGAUCCGGGUCGACGAACAUCGGCUGCAUCGUCGGAUUGGCGGGCUGCAGGCGGACGCGGCCGUUUUCACGAUAGAUCUUCUUCAGCGUGACGUCGGUGCCACCGACGAGCGCGAUGACCAUUUCGCCGUUGUCUGCAGAUUUGCGGUCUUCGAUGAUGACGAAGUCGCCGUCGCGAAUCUGCUCGUCGAUCAUCGAAUCGCCUUUGACGCGCAGCACGUAGCUGUCGCGCUUACCGGCGAGCGAUUCGGGGACGGCAAUCGUCUCGGUGCCAACAACCGCCUCAAUCGGCGCGCCAGCGGCAACGAAGCCGAGGAGCGGCAGCUCCAGCGCGCGACCUCCGGUGCGGGCAGGUACCAGCUCGACCGAUCGGCUGCGGUUCCACGCGCGCCGGAUGAAUCCUUUUUCCUGGAGAUUCGUCAGGUGCUUGUGGACCGUCGCAAGCGAGGAGAGGUUGAACCGUCGUCCGAUUUCCUCGAGGCUUGGCGCAUAGCCGUGCUGCUGGAUGAACUCGUUGAGAUAGUCCAGGAUCUCCCGCUGUCGUUUUGUCAGAGGUAGCACUGCGGUCCUCCCUCUACCGAUGUGCACCCCGGACAUCCGGGUUCAGCGUAAUCAGUAGAGCCGGGCACACUAUAUGCGAACAUAAGGCGAAGAACAACCUGUUACACUCACGAAUGCCGGCUCCUGGGGACUCCGAAUAUGAGCUUUUCCCUCCGUCUCGUCGCCGCGACCGUCUUCGCGUUACUGGCUUUGUUCGUCACGGCUGAGGCCGUCAAUACCUCCAGGCCCCAGGCGGACGCCUUUGCGAAGAAGCUGGCGAUCAUCCGCCAGCACGCCGAACGCUCGCCGGCGACGGCGCGCCGGACGACAACCGUCACCGAGGGCGAGCUCAACUCCUGGUUCGUCUAUCGCUCGCAGCCGCUGCUGCCGGUCGGCGUGAAAGACCCACAGGUCACGGCGAUUGGGAACGGGAAGUUGCUCGGCGUGGUGACCGUCGAUCUCGAUGAUGUGGGGAAGAGCAAGUCGGGCGCCUGGAGCAUUCUUUCCGGCCGUGUGCCGAUCACCCUCAGCGGCGUGCUGAAGACCAAGGACGGACGCGGGCAGUUCGAUCUGCAGUCUGCCAGUCUGUCAGGUGUGCCGCUGC
rnacentral:misc_RNA from 1 species